UUUAAAAUCUAAAAAUGAUAUAAAAAAUCUUAUAUUA
rnacentral:tRNA from 1 species